rnacentral:rRNA from 1 species
AACGAACGCUGGCGGCGGGCUUAACACAUGCAAGUCGAACGAAGUGGCGAACGGGUGAGUAACGCGUAAUCAACCUGCCCUUCAGAGGGGAACAACAGUUGGAAACGACUGCUAAUACCGCAUACUGAAGGAGGUGUUUGCGUCUGAUUGGCUAGGUGGCGGGGUAACGGCCCAACAAGGCGAUGAGCAGUAGCCGGGCUGAGAGGGUGAACGGCCACAGUUGGAAUUGGACACGGCCCAGACGCCUACGGGAGGGCGCAGGGGGGAAUGUGCCGCAAAUGAGGAAAGGCUGACUGAGCAAAGCCGGGGGGGUGAUGACGGCCUUCGGGUUUUAAAGCUCUGUUAAUCGGGACGCGGUACCGGAAGAGAAAGCCACGGCUAACUACGUGCCAGCAGCCGCGGUAAUUC